ACGGAAGGCAGCAGUGAGGAAUAUUGGUCAAUGGACGCAAGUCUGAACCGGCCAUGCCGCGUGCAGGAAUAAGGCCCUAUGGGUCGUAAACUGCUUUUGUGGUGGAGCAAUAAGUCGUACGUGUACGGCGAUGAGAGUACAUCACGAAUAAGCAUCGGCUAACUCCGUGCCAGCAGCCGCGGUAAUACGGAGGAUGCAAGCGUUAUCCGGAUUUAUUGGGUUUAAAGGGUGCGUAGGCUGUGGUCCAAGUCAGGGGUGAAAGCCCGGAGCUCAACUCCGGAACUGCCUUUGAUACUGGAUUGCUGGAAUACGGAUGCCGUGGGAGGAAUGAGUAGUGUAGCGGUGAAAUGCAUAGAUAUUACUCAGAACACCGAUUGCGAAGGCAUCUCACGAAUCCGUCAUUGACGCUGAGGCACGAAAGCGUGGGGAUCAAACAGGAUUAGAUACCCUGGUA
rnacentral:rRNA from 1 species